GAAAAGUGUGGGAAAUUCAAGGAAGCAAGUGACAAAAGGUGAUGAGUCCUCCGAUAAAGGCAAAGGAAUUGCACCCGAGGACCAGUAAUCUGAGUACUUCGAAAAUCCUCACUCUAGACAUUGCUCAGAAUAGGCUAUAGAUAGUUGAUCUCAUCGAGGA